AGAGUUUGAUCCUGGCUCAGGACGAACGCUGGCGGCGUGCCUAACACAUGCAAGUCGAGCGGGGACAUUGCGACAGAUUUGAAGUUUUCGGAUGGAUAUGAAGAUGUAAUGUUCUAGCGGCGGACGGGUGAGUAACGCGUGAGCAACCUGUCCCUUACAGGGGGAUAACACAGCGAAAGUUGUACUAAUACCGCAUAAGACCACAGAGUGACAUCGCUUAGGGGUCAAAGGAGUAAUCCGGUAAGGGGUGGGCUCGCGUCCGAUUAGAUAGUUGGUGAGGUAACGGCCCACCAAGUCGACGAUCGGUAGCCGACCUGAGAGGGUGAUCGGCCACAUUGGGACUGAGACACGGCCCAAACUCCUACGGGAGGCAGCAGUGGGGAAUAUUGGGCAAUGGGGGAAACCCUGACCCAGCAACGCCGCGUGAGGGAAGAAGGUUUUCGGAUCGUAAACCUCUGUCCUUGGUGAAGAGAAAGAGACGGUAGCCAAGGAGGAAGCCCCGGCUAACUACGUGCCAGCAGCCGCGGUAAUACGUAGGGGGCGAGCGUUGUCCGGAAUGAUUGGGCGUAAAGGGCGCGUAGGCGGCCCGGUAAGUCUGGAGUGAAAGUCCUGCUUUUAAGGUGGGAAUUGCUUUGGAUACUGUCGGGCUUGAGUGCAGGAGAGGUAAGUGGAAUUCCCAGUGUAGCGGUGAAAUGCGUAGAGAUUGGGAGGAACACCAGUGGCGAAGGCGACUUACUGGACUGUAACUGACGCUGAGGCGCGAAAGUGUGGGGAGCAAACAGGAUUAGAUACCCUGGUAGUCCACACUGUAAACGAUGAAUGCUAGGUGUAGGGGGUAUCGACCCCUUCUGUGCCGCAGUUAACACAAUA
rnacentral:rRNA from 1 species